rnacentral:lncRNA from 1 species
GUCACAUGAUGGACAUGAUAUAAUGAAACAACAUUGUGGAGAGGAAAGCAUUAGGGGAGCCCACGGCUACAAAAACAAGUGAGUGAGAAGAGGUGGGAGGAAGAGAAACUACGCCACCUCCCCUGCAGCCGAGUGCACGCAGCAGCCUGGCGUGACAAGUGGGCGACGCCGGGGGGCAGGGAGCCGGGGUCCUUGGCCCUGGCCGGGGACCCCACCGCCCACCGCGCGGAGGACAACUUUUAGCCGGCAGCCCAGACCAGCGCGGCACCUGUCUCCGGAGUCUCCACCGCUCCUCCCGAUUCAUCCCAGGGAAAUUCUCAAGAAUACGCUCUACAAAUCUACGUGCGCAUCAUUUUCACCUCGCGUCGCGCCCGGGAGGAAGGAACGAGGCAAGGAGCUAAAGCAGCGUGCGUUCAGCCCUGGGGCAUUUUAUUAAUGCUUUUACGAGUUAGAAGAGUUGGGAUAAUUUGCCAUCUGGAGUUUCUCUGCCUUGCUGAUCUGAGCUCAGACCUGCCAAUUUACCAGAGAUAAUUGAUAACACCCUGUAACAGCUGAGAGGAAAAUGGAAGAAACGGAGAUACUUUUAGUGAAGCAGAAUAAACCACUGAACAGGAAAAAUGAGGAAGCUGUGAGUACCAGUGGAAGGAACGAGCCAGGAAGAGGGACUGGAACCAUCUCAGAAGCCAUGCCCCUCAGGCUGGAACUUGCCCUGUCUCCUCGCAGAUGAGCUACCUCUUGUGUUUAAGAAUUAAAGGAAGAUGAGCUAGGAAUCAAGAAAUACGCAGAACUGAUUCCUGUCACUGGCGCCACCCUGCCACUUGCCCAGAGCUGUGGUAUAAAUUUUUUUAAUAGGCUGAAAUAAAAAUAUGAAUAGCAUUUUGGUAUUAAGCAUUAAAUUGAUAAAGGCUAUGAGAUACACCUGCUCUCAACCAUGUUAAUUUUUUAUUAUUGGUAUUAAUAAAUUAUUACUUACUAACAUAUUAACAAGAAUUGCAUUGAGAAACAAAGCAUCCACAGGCCAAAUCUUCUGAAUUUCAAAUGUUUAUAUUAAUGCGUUGUAUUCUAGAAAAGUAGAAUUGUCUUAAGUAGCUUUGUAAUAUAAAGUCAUCUAUCAGCCCAUUACACCUAUUAGAAUGUUUUAACCUUUAUUUCCCACUUUUUUGUUUCUAGACUGAGUGUACUUGGUCUGGUAUUUGUGGCAUAACUUACGGAACACAUAAGAAUGAUACAGAUACUAUUUAAUGAUGACCUAAUACAAGCUUAGAUAGCUAAGGUGAAAGCUUCUAUGGCCUUAACAUUUUCCUCUUGAAGAAUGUAUUUUCUGUAAUAAAAUACAGUGGCUACUUGAAAUCUAUAAACUUAUGUGAGGUCUGGAUAAAUCUGAGCAACUUUCUUCUUUGUGCUCCAGGAACCUACGCACUAUAUAUAUAAAUAAAGCUUAAGUAAACAUCACUGCAAUCUGUGUUUUGUUUGAUUAUAUUACGUAUUGCCUGAUCUUUAAAUAAUGAUGAAAAAUAGCCUUUAACAUAAACCAUGAAUGGAUAUGCACUUGAGGGAAACAGUUUCUUGGAUAAUUAAACUUUAAUUUCUCACCGUGGAUUCCUUGGAUCUUGUAAUAUUUUUUAAAACAGUCCUGGGGAUUUAUUUUUAAGGCGUCCAAAUGAAUUAUUAGUUCUCAAAAGCCAUAGUAUAUUCAUGGGUCGAUAUAUCCUCAAAACACUAUUUUUAAACUGCUUAGUUUAUUUUUCUUAGCGUGCUCAUCUGCUGCAUAAUUUUCUUUGCUAUGUAUGGGUCACAUGCUUCCUCCCGUCCAUAACUCACGCACUUAAAAUUCUCACUUCCUGAUUGAGCCAUCAGAUUACGUAAAAUGUAAAUCAGCCUGAAUACCUAGGAGCAGGAAUUUUAAGGGAGAAAAUGCCGUUUUCUUUUUCUGUGUCAUUAUUAACCCUUAAAUAUCAGAGUGAGUGUCUGCUCACCUAUUUGUAUUUGGAAACGAGAUACUGUUAGGGGUUUUUCUUGGCCCUUCCCUUUCAGAUUGAAUCAGACUUUGCUGCUUUCCUUAUACAAAAUAAUGUACCAACUAGAUAGACGGUGGGAGUGGUAUCGUUGCAGGAAUGAAACCAAAAGGGUUCCGAUGAUUGAGAGAGAUUCAUUUAUUUUUUAACUCUUCUCAUGAUCUGAAUGAAGAGUACAGCAUCUAUCAAAAGGUAACAACCUAAUAUUUCAGAAUUGCAAGUGGCCAUUUAGCCUUUCUGCUGCCUGAUAUAAAUGAAAGUAAUUCCUAGCAGGCAGGAUGACACUUGUUUUAUCACGAAUCUGACAAUCCAGCACAUUUUCUCAAGCAAUUUUGAAGUUGUCGUAGUAACAGCAUGGCAUUUGGAGGGUCUUUUUAGUAGUUCUUUAGCUAGAGUUAAUUAAUUGUAUUAACUCUGGAUGUUUUUCUUUUUACUCCUCUUUGACAAACAAGGGCUAUAAUUGCUCAAAUAUGUAUUUUGUGUUCUAUAUUUUUUGGUGACUAUAGUUUAAGGACGUGAUGUUUUUAAGUGGUUUCAGUAAAAGGUUAUCAGUUGAUUUCAGACACAUUAAACUUGGGUUUUUAAUUUCUCUGUAAAAUUCCACUAUCAUUGUAGGACCAGGAUUUAGUUUUAUUUAAGAAGUGAAUCUGGGGAGAUAUUUGCACAAAUUGAAUUGUGGCUUGCUUCCAGUGGUUGCAACUAUCCGUUGCUUUGAUUUUGGUGUAUUUAGAAAAAGAACUGGGGAAUGCAGAAAGGGAAAUGUGUCAGGCUUACAGGAGAAAAUUGUUUCUUUAGAAAUGCAACAGGCAGGCACACCACCAAAAGCAUGUUCCAUAAAAGAAAACAAAUAAAUUUGAUUUUGUGAAACUUAAGAAUGCAGUGCUCUUUGAAACUCUAAAAUAUACUUAAAUAAAUUCUCCCCUAGGAAGAUUUGUGGGAACUUUUUAUUGGUGGAAAGUAGGUUGGAACUUCUAGUAUUAAUAGUAAAACUCUGUGGCAGAAAUUCUUGCCAAUAUGGCGGUUGGUGAGAAAGGAAUCCCGUUUCUUGGGCAGGGAGAGGGUCAGAAGAAAGAAUUGUCUGUACUCAGUCUGGAUGCCGGGACUUAAAAAGUAUCAGAUAUACAAUGCUUUUGUUUUCUUGUAUAAGUGAACAGAGAGAUGUGACACUUCUAAAAGGUCUUGUGAGUUUUGUGGGUUUAAUGCUAAUGCCACUAUCCUUACUGUUCUGUGAGUAUUUGUUCAGCCACGGGUGAUUCAAGAGAGUUGGGGUAUCAGCAUGUGCAGCCAACAGCAGUCCAGGUGCUAAUGCACCACCGGUGAUGUCAGGAGUUACGAGACAGCGGUUUCCAAACACUGCAGUAAACAAGGUCAAAGUGUCCCGUUUCGCUGGAAGAAGUUUUGUUUUUAUGAGCUGGACAGUACAUGGAUGAAGUAAUUUUUCAAAACAAACUUUAAAUUUAUACAUGUGUUUUUUUUCUUCUUCUCUUUGGAUUAAAAUAAAUUGGCCCGUUGAGAUUAAAUAAUGGUUAUGUUUUUAAGCAGAAUUAUAUUUCAUAUGUUUUUCCAGUCUUUUAUUGAUUUUCUGUUUUUCACAGAAGAAAUGAAAAUAACUUCUGAUGUAGGGUUUCUUAAAUGCAGUUUGAGAGAGCAAGAUAGGAACCAGUACUUUCAAAAUAUGGCAAGUGCAAGUCACAAUCCCUAGUAAGAUAUUCCUUCUCAUUUUGUGCCUUUGACUCUUAUUUAGACAGACGUUUAAGUACGAGAAAGCUAAUGGCGCAGAUUCUGCUGACUGUGUGGCUCUCGUCUUAAUGCGUUUUCCAACCUUGAACCUGAGAAUGCCAGAGGAUUGAGUCUCUGGACGUUCAUCUGAGCAGAUAUCUGCUGGCCGCCUGGUUCCUGAGCUAACAAGUGGGUGUCCCGGGCUUGUGUGUGUAGUCACAACAGUGGAGGUGCCACGUGGCACCCAGAGGUCGACUGGGGCUACCGCGGGGCUUCCCGAUCCUCACAAGUGUGUCUUCAGUGUCUGACAUGAACUGGGAACUUGGGGCAUCUUUAGAAGCACAGACAUUUGGAGUUCCACGGCAAACCUGGAUGUAAGCACUCACACAGCUUUUAAAGUGAAAGCAGGGACCUUGAGGAAGGAAUCGCCGUCAUCUCAUUGCCGACCUGCUUACUGUGCUGGGAAACAAACAAUACCUUGAAGGUAAAAGGUGGGAGCACGACUGGAGUGUGGAACUGGAAAGCAGAAACCAGGGGUGUUACUUCUAUGUCUAGUAUGGAAUGUUGUGAAUUUAAGUUAGAGCUUCUGUGUCCUGGGAAUUCAUAUUUUAUCUCAAAGUGGUGCUGAUAGGACUGGAGGUAGCUGUAUUUCAUUUGAAACAUUCCAGCCUCUUUAUAGGAAUAUCUGUGAAUUUUUAAUUCAGCAAACAUCUUUAAGUGUGUCAUUUAUGUAUAGCGUUGUAGUCAGAGCUGUAAUUGUUUCACCAUUAAAUUUACGGAAAUUCAGUUUGUAAGUGAAAAAUUAAGAACAGUUUGAAAGAAGGGCGAAUGAGCAGAGCAUUGCCAUCUAAACAGUCUUGUUAAAGAUAGUGCCAAGUGAGCAGGACUGUCCCUUCUAAGCUGCCCCUCCUAAUUAAAGGGAAAGGUGGCUGCCAUCUGUCUUCUUUCAUUCAAGGCAGUAGGGGGUCUAGGGUGGAAGGAAGCAACCCCCACUUUAUUUUUCUCCCACUCUUUUUUAUAGUCAGCUUUCUCCCUAGUCAGUGACCCAGAAGGUCAUUGAUGAUCUGUCUAUCUCAGAAUGAAUAGUAGCAUAAGCACGCUUGGCACUUGCAAAAAAAAGAAAGUUUAUAACAUGCACUGAUCCAUUUAAAGUUCUGCUUGAAUUAUGUCUGAGAGUAUUGUAAUCUCUGUAUUGGUGUCUCUGCCCUGUUUGUUACCAAGGGCACUACUGGCAGGAAAAGUGGGGAGUUUUACUUUUAUUGAUUUUGCUUUUUCAUGAAAAAAUGUUUACACUCCACUGGGCAUAAUCAGAAGAUGGCAGCACAUGGCUAUGUACAGGAGAUGUGGGGAUGUACAGGAAUAUUGUUCUUAUCAAAAUCAAGGACACCUAUUAAUGAUGAUACAUAUAUGUCAUCUCAGGGGAAAGCAUGAACAAGCAUGGCAACAGAUGUCCAAGUUACUCAGUGGCCUGCUGCAGCUUUUUGGACCAGUUAUUGAAAUAAUUCACAUUGUUUAGCUUUUGUUAAGCAAUAAGGCUUUUAGCCUUUUUCUUGUAAGAAUACGUUGCAGGAGAGUUUAGUUUGGGGUCAUGUCUUCAUUGCUUUGGAAAUGUAGAAUAGUCCUCCAACAAAAUGACUGCAUUUGCUUGCCUUCGUUUCCACCUCUGUAAAUAGAAGAAAUAUCUGCUGUUUUUAUAAAUAUAUAAGAGAAUAUGAAAUAUUUUCCAUCUUUCAUAAGAACUGUGUUAUAACUGAAAAAUUCUCAAAUCUUCAGUUAUGUUUAUUUUCAAUUUUUACACACUUAAGCAAGGUGUUAACAGUCUUCUAAAGAGAUUCAGUUGUUACAAGCCUUGUUUAGUUCCCAAGUAGCAGGUAUGGACUUCUCAGAACAUACUGGUUUUUAGAACUCUCUUUGUGACACAGAAGUGUGGUAUUUCUUAAACCCAUAACAAUAUAUUUGGAGAGCUCAAAUGUGAAAGUCAUGUCUGUAAUUUUAUUUAGAGCUUUUUUUUUUUUUUUUUUUUCCAAAUUUGUCACCAACUUGCAACGAGCUUUCUUGGAAACAUAGACGUGUUUAUGUUGUUGAGUCUUGAGAUGAACAUGUGUGGGCUUCUGACGACACUGAUGCCCAGUUUGUAUGAUUGGAUGAUACCUGAAAAGUGGGUCACUUCCUAGUCAGUGAAGGGUACACAGGGCUGAAUAGGCAGGGCUUUUUGGCUUUUUCCGUGCUUUUGUUUUUGUUUUUGGUGUGUGUGUGUACUAAUUUUAGAUACUCAGCUAGGUACUUGACUGGCUAUCCUUUUUAGCAUGUGAUUUAAUUUGGUUUUACCCAUCAGUAUUUAUUUCAAGGGGACUAAAUAAACACAUUAAAUGAAGCACUUAAGAACUUUCUAUCUUCUUUUGACUAUCCACAGCGGUGGGAAAUCUCUGUCCUUUGAGGGUAGGAGGGAGCCAAUAGUUAGGUCUCAUGAAUAUGGUAGGUGAUCAAACCACUGAUUCAAGUCAUUGUUUCAUGUUAUAAACAUGGACUGAGCCAGCUACUACAUUUCAGUAGAAGGUACUGUAGAUUCAAAAGUGAACAUGGGUCUGGCAUUUCAGAAAGACACAGGUUAGUGAGAUAAAUGACUAUAAAAAGAGGUAGCACUGUAGACUGAUGUCCUGUAACAGAGGUACACGUGUGCUGUUAGAGCCAAGAGGGGGUCAAAAUAAAAAGACAGGGCACGGUGGCUCAUACCUGUGAUCCCAGCACUUUAGGAGGCUGAGGUGGGAGGAUCACUUGAGGCCAGGAGUUCAAGACCAGCCUGGGCAACAUAGAUCCCCAUCUCUACAAAAAAAUAAAAUAAAAUAAAAAAAUAAGCCACACAUGGUGGCAUGCAUCUAUAGUCCUAGCUACUUGGGAGGCUGAGGCAGGAGGAUCCCUUGAGCCCUGGAGUUGAAGGCUAUAGUGAGCUAUGAUCACACCACUGCACUCUAGCCUGAGCGACAGAACAAGAUCCCAUCUCUGAAAAAAUGGAUGAGUGAAUUAAAUUUCAAAAUAGAGAUUUAAUGGAAAAAUGAGAAUUGUUGUGUACAUGAUUUAUGAAGUGGCUUACAUAAUAUAAUUUUGGACAUGAAAGCCCUGAAAAAUAGCUUCUUAUUUUAAGGAUGAACAGACUGGGAUUUAUUUCUGAAAUUCUAUAAUUCUCAGUCAGUUGUAAGGCUUUCAUUAUAUAAUAGACUUUUUUUUUUAACCAACGGAAGUUGGACCUCUUCAAAAUGUGAGAUCCAAAAAGGUUUUGGAUAUUGUUUGAAUAACUCUCUUCUCCAAAGGAGACUGUUUUUGAAAAAUGAUUCUUUCUGACAUGUUAAAAUUGAAUAUUUUUGACACGCCAAAUGCACCAAAGUAUUAUAUGUCAUGUUUAUUGCCGAGAGUAGCUAUAUAGCUUGUGGGAGACAGUUAACGUGAAGCUUUCUUGCAUCUGGAAGUAUGGGGAGAGAGAAGGCUUCUUCACACCCCCUUUCAUGUUAUAUUCUACAGGGAAAGAAUUUCUAUCAUGUAGACACUAGGUGACUCCCUUGUGGAUAAUUUCAUUUAACAAUGAUUUCUGGGUGUUGCUCUAUGCCAGGCACUGUUCUAGGAGCUGAUGCGAAGGCUCAGCUGAUGGGCUACAGACCUGAAGGCCUGUGCUCCUCAGUGGCACUCUGUAGGUAGAUACAGAGCCACCAUCUACUGGGUGCUUCUCCUGAGUGUGACAGUGUAGGCUGGGACACGAUGCUACCCUUCAAGGAGCUUGAAGCUAAGGUUCUGUGCACAGAUAAAAUUAGAAUAAAUGCAGAGAUGCUAUAACAAGAUGUCUUAGAAAAAAGAAAAACAAAGAAUAAAUGCAGAGAGAAAGAGAAAUGUAUAAAAGGUAGAGAGAUAAACAUACCACAAGUUCAUAGAAAAGAAAGGUUGUGUGUUUAUCUGUGGCUGGGAUGAUCAAGAAAUGCUUCAUGGAUAAAGAGCCUUUGAGCCAGACAUUGAAAGAAAGGUAAUGUUGGACUUGAGGUCUUGGAGUAUCCUCGUUGAAGGAAACAUGAGCAAAGGCAUAGGUAGGGAUGGGAAAUGCCGGGGUGCAGAGUGGGCAGGAAUCGAUUUGUAGUUGCUGGGCAAUGAUGUGUGUAAACCACUAAGGAGAAGAUCAGGUAGCAAAGGUCCUUGGAGGCCAGAACCCAGAGGGCCUUGAAUGGCACGUGACUAAAUGAUUUAAACUUAAGUUACUGGGGAGCAAUGGAAGAAUUUGAGUGGCUAGAGUCCCCAUCCUGAAGAGGCCUUGCGGGGAUCAGCAUGUGGGUGCCUCUGGACUGUGAAAUAGCCAGAGCUGGGAAGCCUUUUAGAGCUGCUGUUGUGGUCCAGGAGGGAGGUGGGGAGGGCCUGGGUGAGGGGAAGGCCACUAGAUGGAGAAAUUGAAUUUAUGAGAUGGGAUUUAGGAACUGCCUAGAUAAUAGGGGUUGGCCGAUGGGAAGCAAAAAUGCCCCCAGAGCUUUGAACCCAGGUGCCAUUCAUUAUUUCUAUGCCAUCUGCCAGGCAUUGCAUAGCUAUUAUCUCAUUUAAUCUCCUCCUAAUCUUGUGGGUUGGUAUUUUCAUCCUUAUAUCAGAGACGAGAAAACUAAGGGUCAGAGAAAAUUAGCAAUUGGUCUAAAAUUGUACAGUUGUAACAGGAUCUAGAACAGGGACUUCAGUACAGGCCUCCCUGACCCCCAAGCCUGUGUUCUUUCUACUGUACUAGGCUUGGAAGACAGCGUACGUGAGAGCAAAGACAAGCUCUGUCCACUCUGUGCAUAUUCAGUGUAGGUGCUGGUGAGAUUCCCGCCUUCAGGUGUCCAGCAAGUGGUUGGAGACAUGGAGCCGAAUCUCAAGGACAUUGGGAGGAUUGAAGGUCAAGGCUUAAGAACCAUCUGCAUCCUCAUUUAUUUAUUCAGCAGCUAUUUGUUGUGUCUUCGUGGACCAGCUUGGCAGCAUGAAUGCUGUGACCAACAAGAGAGGUGUGUCCUUCACGGAGCUGCCAGGCUGGGAGGGAGCCCUGAUGGCGUGGCUUGAGUGUAAGGCAGGAGGUGUGCAGAUUGGCUGUGGGAACUUACUGGCCUAACCUUGUCAGGUCAGGGAAGCUCUCUAGAGGCAGUUGUGGUUCUCAACAUGAGACUCAAAUGAUGAGGACCCAGUUAAAAAGUGGGAAAACAGCAUACCCCAGGCCGUGGAAGUAGCGCGUACUCAGGCAGAGCAAGAUAAGAACACAGUGUCUUUAAACCAAAAACCACGUGUGGCUGGAAUGGAGGGAAGAGCAAGGAGAUAAGACAGGUGAGCAGGAACCAGAACAAGAAAUGCCCUGGAAGCUGUGAGACGCUUGGAAUUCACCUGUGAAGAAAAGAGUAGCCUCAUCUGAAUUCCUUGCCUCGAUUAUGGUCUCCAAUAGAAGAUUAAAUGGCUGUGGAGUCUAGAGGUUUUUUCCUUCGGUGUGGGCAUCACCCCUUCUGAAAGGAUGGUGUAAUGGCUAAUUGUAUGUAUCAGCUUGGCGAGGCCACAGUACCCAGAUACUUGGUCAAGCACCAGUCUAGAUGUCGCUGUGCAGGUAGUUUUUUAGAUGAGGUUUAACAUUUAUAUCAGUAGAAGGAGUGAAGCAGAUUAUCCUUUGUAAUGUAUGUAGGCCUCAUAUAUCAUCAGUUGAAGGCCUUAAGAGAAAAAGAUUGAAGUCCCUAAAGAAGAAGGAACUCUGUCUCCAGUCUCCCUUCAGACUCAAGACUGCAACAUCGGCCUGGCACGGUGGCUCACGCCUGUAAUCCCAGCACUUUGGGAGGCUGAGAUGGGUGGAUCGCUUGAGAUCAGGAGUUCAAGACCAGCCUGGCCAACAUGGCAAAAACCUGUCUCUAUUUAAAAACACAAAAAUUAGUUGGGCAUGGUGGCAGGCGCCUGUAGUCCCAGCUACUUGGGAGGCUGCGGCAUGAGAAUCACUUGAACCCAGGAGGCAGAGGUUGCAGUGAGCUGAGAUCAUGUAACUGCACUCUAGCCUGGGCGACAGAGUGAGACUCUGUCUCAAAAAAAAAAAAAAAAAGACUGCAACAUCAACUCUUCCCUUGGUCACCAGCAUGCCCUGAAGAUUGUGGAUUUGUCAGUCCCUGUAAUUGCAUGAGCCAGUUCCUUAAGGUAAAUAUCAGUAUCUACCCCCACCCCCACCACUCUCUCUCUCAAUCUCAAUCUCAGUCUCUCUCUCUCUCAAUCUCAAUCUCCCUCUCAAUCGCCCUCUCCCUCUUCCUCUUCCUCUCCCUCUCUCCCUCUUGGUUCUGUUUCUCUGGAGAACCCUGACUAAUGCAGAUAGGAAGAUAAAUAAAUUUAAGUUGUUUGGCUCCAGUUGGUAUUAGCAGAAAGCUGCAUCAGGCUUCUCUAGGUGUUCUUGGUGUGUGCGUAUAUUGCUUUUUGUAUAGAUGAGAAUAGUGAAAUAUAGAAGGGAAGUGAUGUACCCACAGUCAUGCAGACAGUUGAUGGGAGAGCCAAGGAGAAAACUCAAGUUUCAAACCUCUGGUGUAGUUCAGUCGCUUUCUUGCUAUUUGGCCCUCAUGUUUUUAUUAGCAAGGUAAUAAAGUUAUUGAGUUUGCCAUGCGUAAUUAUUGGUAAUGUUUAUGGAAUGUUCUCUGUAUGUCAGGUGCUGUUUUAGUUGCCCUACAGGUGUUAGUGAUUUUAAUCCUUACAACUACCUAAUGAGAUAGGGAAUAAUACUAUCCCAUUUUACAGAUUUUAAGCAAUGAGUCCAGUGAGCGAUGUGGUCAUUGCUACACAGCUAGUGAGUGACAGAGCUGGACUGAAGACUCAGGCAGCCUGGCUGCAGAGGUUGUGCUAUUGACUACUCCACCGCUUCUCAGCUUAAUGCCCCGAGCACAGCUUUUCAUCUCUCCCUUUGGAACCAUUGUCCAGAAUAUUUAUUAUGGUAGUGUGCUCUUGGUAGGGCUUGUAUUGAAAGAGAAAAUGCUUAUAAGUUAUUUUUCAAGAGACCAUCCGAUAAUGCUUCUUAGCUCCUUGAAAAACAGAAAACAUUCCCAUUACAGCAACACUGUAGACCACCUGCUGGAGUAUAUUUUUAGCAACUAGACUUUGCUGUCUAGCCUAGUGACACUGGUGGGCAUCUGAUUUGCCCAGGGUCAUACAGGAGCGUGAUAAAGUGGUGAUAUGAGUUGGCUCCUGGUUCAGCAUUUUGGGGUGUGUUCUGGGGGAGAAAAUAGCAAACCUCUUUGUGUGUGUCCCUUGGAUCUUUGAGAGAACAAUCAUCAUAACUCCCAUUUAUUAGGUCUGUUGGGUGCUAGAUGCUGUUGUAAGUGCUUUAUAAACAUUGUCUCAUGGAAUCUUCUCAAUAGCCCUGAAAGGCUGGCAUUACCAUCCCAUUUUACAUAUAAAGUAAGCAGUGAUUAGGGAGUGACAUUUCCAAAGCAAGUAGCAGAACCAAGGAUUAAACCUCAUCUGAAUGACUCCAAGCCAGUGCUCUUGGUCACUUGGCUAUGUCUAUACUGGGUGUCUGUACUGGACCUCUCUCUGUAUAUACUGGGUAUCUAUACUGGAGCUCACCAUUCUUCCCCAUAGACUAUGAACUCCAUAAGGGACUUUCUCCAUUGAUUCACCACCAUACUUCAGCACCUGCCAAGUACACUACCUGACACACAGUAGGUACUUAAUGCACAUACAGUCAUGUGUCAUUUAACAAUGGGGAUAGGCAGUUUUGUCAUCGUGUGAACAUCAUAGAGUGUAUAUACAUAAACCUACAUGGUAUAGCCUACUACAUCCCUAGGCGAUAUGAUAUGGCCCUAUUGCUCCUAGGCCACAAACCUGUGUGGCGUACAGUACGACUGUACUGAAUACAUUGUAACACAAUGGUAAGUGCUCAUAUAUCUAAACAUACCUAAACAUAGAAAAAGUAAAGCCCUGCAGUGUGUUACAGUGGCUACAGUGUCACUAGGCAAUAGGAAUUUUCAGCUCCAUGUAAUCUUGCGGGCCCACCAUCAUGGGUGCGGUGCACCAUUGACUGAAAUGUUAUGCUGCACAUGACUGUAUAUUGAGCGAAUAACAGACUCAUUGUGUUCUCUGUGAUCGCUUCCGAAUGGCGAGAGGGCCAGGGCCAAAGGGCACAGACCUGUGAGUGUGUUAUGGACUCAUGUGGGUUUAGCCUUCACGAUAUAUAUGAAUAUAUCAUAAUGUGUGUAUCUAGUGUGUGAAUAUAUAUCAUAACUUAUCCACUUUAUGGAUAUCAUAAUUUAUCCAUUUUAGUGAUUCCAGGACAUUUUGUCUAUCUAUGCUUUUUUUUUUUUUUUUUUUUUUUUGAAAUGGAGUCUCACUCUGUCACCCAGGCUGGAGUGCAAGUGGCACAAUCUUGGGUCACUGCAGCCUCUGCCUCCCCAGUUCAAGCGAUUCUCCUGCCUCAGCCUCCUGAGUAGCUAGGACUACAGGCACAUGCUACCACACCCGGCUAAUCUUCGUAUUUUUAGUAGAGAUGGGGUUUCACCAUGUUGCUGGUCUCAAACUCCUGACUUCAAGUGACCUGCCCGCCUCAACCUCCCAAAGUGCUGAGAUUACAGGCAUGAGCCACCGUGCCUGCCCUCUAGCUAUGCUUUAAGGCAGGCCUAUCAGCCCAGACUGGAGUCAUGUAAUACAUGGCUCUGUCAGUAGCUCUCCUUCCCACAAAUAAGUUUUGAUGAUCUUACACUCAUCCCUGCCAUUAGCAUUCAGGACCAAUCUUCUAUAGCCUAUACGCCACACUGGUCUAGGACAGCACCUAAAUAAUACUCAUGCUAUAAAAAAUUCAUCAAGUUAUAUAUUUUUAAAAACAUCCCUAAAAUUAUCUUUUUCCUUUACUGAAAAGAAUUUCAGGAUCCCCUCUCUCUCACUGCCUCUCUUCACACACACCUACCUUAGUUGGUCACCUAUUUUGUAAACAUAUCUUCUUUAAAAAAAGAAAGAAAUGGCAGUACAUGAAAAACUGCUUCGUAAACAGAAACUAUAUUAUUUAUAUUUGUAGCAUUUUUUUCCCCUUGAGGUUAAUUUCCUUUGCUUCCCAUAACUGGAAGCCAAUGAUUCAGUGCCAUUAUAUAAGCUUAUUUUCCCUCUUGGAAAUAGUAAAUUAUAAGAGGUUUGACCCAAAAAUAUACAUCAAAAUUAGGCAGUAUUCGGUGUUUAGCCUCCAUCUGCCUUGUCUUCUUGUCUUUAGUUGUGCAAGUAGAUGCUGAUGAUUUCUGGCAGAGCUAAAGUAAGUAAAUCAUGUGAAUUUAUUUUUUUUCCUCAUAAAACAGAUGGCAUGGUCUAGCUCUGGGCUUGUAUGUUUCAUGAAGUACAUGGGUCUGAGUGCGUAUUUAUUUUGUGAGCCAAGGUUUAUGCCUUCUUCUAUAAUUUUCUUUCACCGAAAAUUACCUGGAGAGCUAGAAACUCCAUUUGUGUCAGUGUAAGAAGCUUUAGAAUCUAUAUCCAGACCAAGGCCAUGGAACAAUGUAGAUUCACUCAGUAAAAACUCACUAGCGGCCUUCUUUGUACUAGUCUGUCACCUUUGCUUGGCUUUGGGAAGCUUCAAACUAGGGCAGUUUAUGUUUGGGAGUGACCAGUCAAAUAGCAAGACAGACAUAGGCAAGGAUGUAAUUUUUAAAAAUUUAAGUGGGGAAUGGUGAAGCAUGAAUCAAAACAGAAGGUAGUCUUACCUUCUUGGAACUGUAAAAUAAAUACAUUUGAAAAAGGCACCCUCUCAACCUUCUGCGAGUCAGAAUUUUUGCUGCCACCCCUCAUUUUGAAUCUCUAUUCUGCAUUUUUUAUUCUUUUUUUUAGGAAGGAGGAAGAAAAAUUUCUCCUGAAGAAUUCAUUGGAAAUUAAAAUUAACUUGCGUAUUUUGUAUUCUUUGGAAUGUGAUGAAGACUGAUUUGAAAGGGCAGUGCUGGAUUUGGUCAGGCAUAGGAAAGGAAGACAUGCAGUCGUCCUGCCUAGCUCAUCCCCGCCACGAUGGAGAAGUGGGGUUGCUUUCGUUGUACUUUUUUUCAUUUGUUUCUUGCCAAGCCCAGUGGCUUCUGUUAUAACAUGUGGCAGCUUCUCCCUUGGAGACUGAUUCAGUCCAAGUUACCAUAAUAUUUAGGACCAGCUACAGAGACGUUUCUUCCCCUAAACCCAUGCCAAAUCUAAAUCAAACUAUCUUCUUCUCCUUAGCCGUUCAAAUAGCUCCAGCUCUUAUAUAAAAAUACGAGAAAUACACAGGCCUCUUUUCGUUUUAUUCCUGUUCAAACAGAUAAACAAACAAGGCACAUCAUGCCUAGGUUGCUUUGAGCUUGAUCACUUCCUCCUAAAGCAGUCUUACGCUGUGUUGAUUUUAAGAAUUGCAACUUAGGUGUUCUAGAACAUAUUCUGAGAGCAUAGUCAUAGUCUGUGAUCUCAGAAUAUGUUUGCUUCCUUCUAGAACAUCUGAGUUCUAGAAAUUGCGUACAAUAAACUGCUGUCAGUGCUGCUGGAGGAAGGAAGAGUAACUCUGACAUCACUGGCCUUCAACAGGUGUGGCGCUGAGCUUCUGGGCCUCAGAAGCCCUGACUUCUAGAGGCUGGGGGCCAGCGGGGCAGGGAGGUGAUCUCAUCAUGGAUGGCCACAGAUCAUCCACCUGCCAAACAGUUAACCCUGAACAAGUCAUGUCAAUUUAUUUUGCUUUUAAAAAAGAAAGUCUGCAAAAUAGAAAAAAAAAAAAAAAGAUUCUUCAUAAAUACAUUUGUUCUGAUCUGUAAAUACCCUGGUCAUUUCCCCCUUGGCAUUUGAUACACAUAGUAUAGACAUAUUUUAGUCAUCCUUGCUCAAGUAAUUAUAUUCCAUAACCAACUUUAUUAGCAUAAAUUAACUUCCUCAUAUUUUUAGCAAGAGUUACUUUCCUUCAUUGCUUAGCUUAUUGUUUUGAAAUAUGAAUUACUUCAGCACAGUUCAUUUUUGUGGAUGGCAUUUCUGUCUUUUUAAUUUAUAAUUAUUUGAUAUAUACAAAAGAUGGUAUGUAACAUACAAGUAAACUCUAAAGCACAAUUUUAAAGGUGCUCCAGUGAACCACCAUCCAACUUAAGAAUUGGCUCAUUACAAAUACUUGGAGAUCUCGCUAAGUAUCUUAUUCCUAGCAUUUUCCUGCUUUCCCACUAUUCCGAAAUUUGUAUUUAUAAUUAUCCUGAUUUUUAAACAAACAUAUAUUUUUAUCACAGUGUAAUGAGUAAAUGUGUGUUGCUAAAGGUAUUUUGAGACAUAUAAAAAUAGUAUCGGACUUUGCAUGGUCUUUUUGGAACUUGAGAUUUUCCUCCAUAUAUUUGCAAAAUUCAUCCAUGUUUUCAGGAAUAGCUACAGUUCCUUCAUAUUGCCAGAAUAUUCUAGUGUGUGAAUAUAUCAUAAUUUAUCCACUAUCUUAUUUAUUGAGGGGGGGUGGGAAACAAGGAGCUCUUUUUAUAGACAUGUUGAGUCUGAGAUCUCUAUUAGAAAUCCAUUGGAAAUGAGCAGGCAGGUGGAUGCUGUUAUUCAGGAGAGAUGACUGAGAUGGAACUAACAGCGUGUAGAUGGCAUCUAAAGCAUUGUCUUCCCAACUAUUCUUAGAAUGAUGGGCCAUUUAGCCCAUCAACUGAGAUUUCUGUGUUAACAGUUUUUUGUUUUUUGUUUUUUGUUUUUUAAUUUCUUAAAGGUCUAUCUGGUGUUUUUUGUUUGUUUGCUUUUUCCCAAAUCUGCCUGGUCACUUUGUUCAAGUGUGACUUGUAAGGGAGUAAACAAGGAGAGUAUGAGCUUCAAAGAAAAUGGGGGGAAGUAUUUUGCCAGCUCUCAUGGAGUUUUGUGAGAUCCAAAAGAAAUGCUAUAUGUAAAUUUGCUUUGUAAACUGAAAAAAGUUAUGCACUCAAUUAUUAUAUUUGAUGAUGGCACCUUGUUGGGUUCUGGUUAAUGCCUCAUAUUCACUGAGUGCUUACUUUAUCUAUAUUAACACAUCUCAUCUUUAUAACAAUCUGUGAGAAGUAGGUACUGUAGAUUCAUAUUUUACAGAGGAAAGUACAGCUUAUAAAUGGUAGACCCAGGAUUUGAAUUCAUAGAGUCUGCUUCUAGAAGGUGUGUUCUUAGCUCCAGUGCUAUGCUGUCAUAUUGAUUUCCUGCCUGCCUUCUCCUUCCUUCCUUCUCCCCUCCCUCCCUCCCUUCCUUCCUUUCCUUCUUUUUUUUUUUUUUUUUUUUUUUUUUUUUUUUUUUUUUGAGACGGGGUCUCACUCUGUCACCCAGGCUGGGGUGCAGUAGCAUGACAAUAGCUCACUGUAGCCUUGACCUCCUGGGCUCAAGUGAUCCUCCUGCCUCAACUUCCUGAGUAGCUGGGACUACAGGCACAUCCCACCAUGCCUGGCUAAUUUUUAAAUGUUUUGUAGAGAUGUGGUCUCCCUAUGUUACCCAGGCUAGUCUCAAACUCCUGGACUCAAGUGAUCCUCCCACCUUGGCCUCCCAAAGUGCUGAGAUUACAGGUGUGAGCCACCACACCUGGCCAUACUGUCCUUCUUUAAAUGACAGGUUUCUUCCCACUCCUUCAGCUUCAAGAGUACAAACAUUUUAGGGUCACAUUUCAGCAUGUCCACCUUGAACCCAGCUACAAAAAUCCUACCCCAGGCAGUGGGCCCCCAGCAAAGGGCUGUGUGUGCUGACCUAGUUUCACCACCGAACCCAGCCCCAGACCUCACAGGGCACUGCUCACCUGCCAGGUGCCCACUCUGUGCUUGUUGAAGAUGGUGUCUUCUUGAUUUCACUUAUUUGCCUGAAGCCACCCAAUAAGUCAGUAGUGGGCCAGAGAAUAGAAACCAAGUCUCCUGCCUUUCAAGUGUCACAUUUGUUUUGUGUUAAUAAGCUAUAUACCUCCAGGGGAUCUGGCAGAAAUUUGAAGGUGGUUAAUUUUACUGCAAUAAAUACUUAAGAAUCCUUUUUAAAGCAAAGAAGUCAAGCCCCCGCCAGGGAAAACACAAUCUGCUCUGAGGGCCUUUGACAAACUGACAUGGGCACUAGGACUAGGUCAUGGAUCAUUGGCCCUUGAUUCUGUCUCCCACUGAGCAUCCCAAAGGGGUUGAGACCUCUGCUGGAGCCACUAGGCUUCAGCCGGACCUGGAAAUGUUCUCGCAAAUGAAACUGGAAUGCAUGAUGUCCUGGAUUCAGCGGGUCACAGCUGACUGCCAUCAGGAGGUGUGACGGAGAAGGUUCCAUUUCUGUGACCCUGUGGUGAUACAGGUCGGGACCCAGGCGAAGUAGCUCAGCCAUCUGAAUUGGCACCUUUCUGCUUUUCUCGCUGAGUGACGGGUGCCUUGCAGUUGGCUUCAGAUGUUUGUGAAUGUGCUGUGUUUCCUAAAGCCAUGUCAGUCAGGAAGAAGAUGCAGGUAUUCAGGAGAAGGGAGAAGAAAAUCUGAAUUAGAAACAACGUGAGGAUGGGGAGCACAGGGAGGGAUGGGUUACCUUUGUCAUCAGAAGAACGCCAGGCAGAUUUUAGUCCCUCAGCUAAUAAUACUAUUUGAAAAAUUGAUGGAGAAAUUUAACUGGAAGGUUUCAGCAAGACAAAAGCUGCAUCUCCAAGGCUGGACUCAGCGUGUUCACGUGGGAACUGGGUGUGAGUGUAAUUGUCAGAGGGGAGGGUUGUCACAGGAGGUGCACGAUGUGAAGUCACAAGGGGACGCAUUAUUUCCAUGAGUUCUCACAGUUCCCAGGGCAGCCACAGAUGGUAGUGGUUUAUGUCUGCCUCUGCCUUGACAGAAGGGCAGUAGGCAGUUGUGGCAAGAAAAAUGGACCAAAUGAGGGCUGCACUCAGCAGGUUAAAUUUGCUGUCUGUUAGUGUUCCUAGGUGAGAUGCUUCAAAACUAGAAUGCUCUGCUGGGACUUUUAUUUCCCUUAGAAAUAAAAGGCCAGGCGCGGUGGCUCAUG